rnacentral:rRNA from 1 species
GACGUAGGGUCCAAGCGUUGUCCGGAUUUACUGGGCGUAAAGGGCUCGUAGGCGGCCAACUAAGUCGGAUGUGAAAUCCCCAGGCUCAACUUGGGAACUGCAUCCGAUACUGGAUGGCUUGAAUUCGGGAGAGGGAUGCAGAAUUCCAGGUGUAGCGGUGAAAUGCGUAGAUAUCUGGAGGAAUACCGGUGGCGAAGGCGGCAUCCUGGACCGACAUUGACGCUGAGGAGCGAAAGCUAGGGGAGCAAACAGG